rnacentral:rRNA from 1 species
CAGUCGCCGCGGUAAUACGGAGGGAGCUAGCGUUGUCCGGAAUUACUGGGCGUAAAGCGCGCGUAGGCGGUUACUCAAGUCAGAGGUGAAAGCCCGGGGCUCAACCCCGGAGCUGCCUUUGAAACUAGGUGACUAGAAUCUUGGAGAGGUAAGUGGAACUGCGAGUGUAGAGGUGAAAUUCGUAGAUAUUCGCAAGAACACCAGUGGCGAAGGCGGCUUACUGGCUCGAAACUGACGCUGAGGCGCGAAAGCGUGGGGAGCAAACAGGAUUAGAGACCCCCGUAGUCCCUGUCUCUUAUAC